CAAGUCGAACGCGGUUAGUAGCAAUACUAACUGAGUGGCAAACGGGUGAGUAACACGUGGGUGACCUACCUUCGAGUGGGGGAUAACGUCCCGAAAGGGACGCUAAUACCGCAUAACAUCCUGUCCUUGAACGGAUGGAGAUCAAAGCCGGGGAUCGCAAGACCUGGCGCUUGGUGAGGGGCCCGCGUCUGAUUAGCUAGUUGGUGAGGUAACGGCCCACCAAGGCGACGAUCAGUAUCCGGCCUGAGAGGGCGGACGGACACACUGGGACUGAGACACGGCCCAGACUCCUACGGGAGGCAGCAGUGGGGAAUUGUUCACAAUGGGCGCAAGCCUGAUGACGCAACGCCGCGUGGAGGAUGAAGGUCUUCGGAUUGUAAACUCCUGUUGCUCGGGACGAAAAGCCUCGGCCUAAUACGCCGAGGUCUGACGGUACCGAGUGAGGAAGCCCCGGCUAACUCUGUGCCAGCAGCCGCGGUAAUACAGAGGGGGCAAGCGUUGUUCGGAAUUACUGGGCGUAAAGGGCGCGUAGGCGGCCCGCUAAGUCGAACGUGAAAUCCCCGAGCUCAACUCGGGAACUGCGUCCGAUACUGGCGGGCUUGAAUCCGGGAGAGGGAUGCGGAAUUCCAGGUGUAGCGGUGAAAUGCGUAGAUAUCUGGAGGAACACCGGUGGCGAAGGCGGCAUCCUGGACCGGCAUUGACGCUGAGGCGCGAAAGCUAGGGGAGCAAACGGGAUUAGAUACCCCGGUAGUCCUAGCCCUAAACGAUGAAUGCUUGGUGUGGCGGGUAUCGAUCCCUGCC
rnacentral:rRNA from 1 species